rnacentral:lncRNA from 1 species
GCUUAAUGAAGUAUGUGGGAGAUUGAACGAUGUGCGGACAGAUGAUGAACCUGAGCACGAAGCUGAAGGCUCGGUUGCAUCAGGAGACGAUGAUGAUUCUGAUGACGAAGAAUUUGACCCUGCGCUGGAGGUGGGCACUGCUUCUGAUGCCUCUGAGGAUUUAUUAGACGACGAUCUAAUUGAUUUCACGGAGACCGAGCGAGCAGGUUGGAUCCGACAACCGACAGCCGAGACCGGUGAUCUAACUAAUUGGUUAGUUCCCUUGAUUCCAGUGGACGCCUCGGCUUCGCUGGUUGCUCGCGAGAGUGACCCUUCUAGAGUUGAUGAUCUGCAGAAGAAUUCUUUUUACAACAGCAAAGACGAC